CCAGAGGAAACUCUGGUG
rnacentral:ncRNA from 3 species